AGUUCUAUGCCUGAUAAAAGGAUUAAAUUGUAAAUUUAUUAAUGAGAAGUAAACUCUAGAACUA
rnacentral:tRNA from 1 species